rnacentral:rRNA from 1 species
AGGUGGUGCAUGGUUGUCGUCAGCUCGUGUCGUGAGAUGUUGGGUUAAGUCCCGCAACGAGCGCAACCCCUAUUGUUAGUUGCCAUCAUUUAGUUGGGCACUCUAGCGAGACUGCCGGUAAUAAACCGGAGGAAGGUGGGGAUGACGUCAAAUCAUCAUGCCCCUUAUGACCUGGGCUACACACGUGCUACAAUGGUUGGUACAACGAGUCGCAAGCCGGUGACGGCAAGCUAAUCUCUUAAAGCCAAUCUCAGUUCGGAUUGUAGGCUGCAACUCGCCUACAUGAAGUCGGAAUCGCUAGUAAUCGCGGAUCAGCACGCCGCGGUGAAUACGUUCCCGGGCCUUGUACACACCGCCCGUCACACCACGAGAGUUUGUAACACCCGAAGUCGGUGAGGUAACCAUUUGGAGCCAGCCGCCUAAGGUGGGAUAGAUGAUUGGGGUGAAGUCGUAACAAGGUAACA